UUGGUUUCGUUGUUUCCCGUUCUCUCUUCACUUACAUUUUUAAUAUGUCUAUGUUUAUAUGGAACUGUCAAGGAGCAUGAAGCUCCCCUUUCUUUAAUGCUUUUAGGUUAUUUGUGGAGAGACAUCGGUCGGAUCUAGUCGUGUUGUUGGAACCACGAAUCAGUGGCGACAAAACAAAUACAUUUAUAGGAAAAAUGAGUUUCCCUUAUACUCACAGAUUUAAAGCUCAGGGUUUCUCUGGGGGUAUAUGGCUCUUGUGGAUAGGAAAUUGGGAUAUUCAGAUUAUUCUCAAUAAUGGGAAAUUUAUGCAUAUGGCUAUUUCUGAUAACAAUACCUUUCUUAUGUAUCUAACGAAUUUGUAUGGGAACCUAGUGGCUUAUUCAAGGAAGCUUCUUUGGAAAAAUAUACAGUCACUUCUUUUGCUUAUGAAUAGGCCUUGACUUUUAGCUUGUUAUUUCAACUCUCUUCUAAAGCCUGAAGAAAGAAGGGGUGGCUCAUCCCACAGGAUAAAGAUUUCUUGUGAUUUUGCUUAUUGGUUUAUAGCUCUCAUCUUAUUGAUUUGGGUUAUAGGGUUCCCACAUUUACUUGGCAAAGAGGUACUCUGCUGCAAUGGCUGGACAUAGCUAUUUGUAAUGAGCAAUGCCAGUUAAGGUACCUAGAAGCCUAUGUUUUUUAUCUCCCCUGCACUUAAAGUGAUUGUAGACCUCUUCUCAUCAAGUUUCAAAGUUUUUUUUUCAUACUUUAGGUACUAAACUACCAUUUGGAUUUCAGGUUAUCUGGAUGACUCAUAAUGAUUUUCACUCCCUAUUGGAAAAUAAUUGGAUCCCUAAUGAGUUAAUUAUGAAUAAUCUCAGCAAUCUCAUGACAAAGUGAAAUCUUAGAAUAUGAGUACGUUUAGGAAUGUGUUUCGACAAAAAUAUCUGCUCUUGGCCAGCAUUGAUGGAAUCCAACAUACACAAGAAGUGAGAUUCUCUAGUGCCCUUUAAAAAAUUGAGCUUGAUCUUUGGCGAGAGUUAGAUAUCAUCAUGCUUCGAGAGGAGAUCAUCUGGUAUAAAAAAUCUAGAGCGAAUU
rnacentral:lncRNA from 1 species